UGUUGGGAUAGCUCAGUUGGUAGAGC
rnacentral:tRNA from 3 species